rnacentral:lncRNA from 1 species
UCUUCUUAUAUUGUUCAGGGAGUUGCUACCAACGAAAGCUUGUUCAUAUUAUUGCAUGGCAUUACCUACACGGCUGGCACAAACGGUUUAAGAUAAGCUGGUAGACUGUUAUGCCACGCAAUACAGCAAUACUCCAAAACGGAGCGAAUGAGUGCAUACAGUAAAUAUGGAUUAGUUCAUAAACUUCAUAUUAAAGGUGGAAGAUCAUGUCACUAAACUAAUUUUAUAUACGCACUGGAUAGAAUCUUGAACUGUCUUCGCCAGUGUAGGUAGUGCCAAUCAAAUGAACAAGCUUUCGUAUGCAACUACCCGAAAAUAUAUAAGGAAAAUUUCCUUGUGUAUUUUCAGGUAUUUUUGCAUCCUUAUAUACCAACGAAAGCUUGUUCGUAUGUACUGAAUGUUUACAUCAUUUACAAGAGUGAGUUGACUACAAAUUUUUGUAGUUCGGCUACAGCUACUUCAAAAAUAUGUAGUCAGCUACAACUACUGCUACUUUUGAACAAAAGUAGUUCGCUACUGACUACAGCUACUGCUUAAAAAAUGUAGCGAACUAUUUCGCUACGCUAUAUUUUUUAGUUUUACUGUAUUUGGAGCAUCUACUGUACUGUAACCUAUAACAAAUGGACUUACGAGUAGCAACAGUAAACACAAAGCAACAUUUUUAUAAAAUAUAAAAUAUUGCGCUAAAAAUAUUCUUUAUUGCGAUAAGAUAUAAAUAUAAAAUAAGAUGGCACUUUGUUGCACGACAUAUUUAAAUUUUAUUCGUGCAAAUUGACUAUUGAGUAUUGAUUUUACUCAAACUGUGUCUUAAGGUGGCUCCAUACAGUUUCUUGAAAAGUGGAAAAGACACUUUUCAGACCGAAAAAUGUUGUACAUUUAUAUUUUUAUAGAAGAAUGAAACCAGAUGUCUUGUAUAGAACAGUAUUUUGAGAAUCAGAAACUGUACGGAAAAGUCCGUAACUGUGGUUACGUUUACUAUGGCAACAAUGACGUUUCAAAAUGGCUGCUAAUUUGCAUUUGAACAAGUUUAAUUCGAACACAACGUCGGUGACCCCCAAUUUUUAUUUUAUUAAAAGUUUUUUUUCUAGUAUGAAGCAAUCAUUAGGACAAUUUUUAAAAAUUCUGUAGAUCUAAAAUUUUUCAAAUCGAAAAAACGUGUUUAUUCGUGACAAAAAAACAUUCCCUCGAAAAGUCGAAGUUCUCCUGGUAUUUUUCAUGUAGUAAGUUGCAUUCCUAUUAAUCCGAAUCCAGCGGCGUAACGCUCAUUGGUUAGGCCAUAUAAAAUAAAUUCCUUGAUUCUCAUCACCGCCCGACGAUAUUUUGGUUUCCGCGUUGAUAUAUUUUUGUAUUUUGUUAUAAAAUAUAAAUUUACCGCCCGACCGAGCAUCUUCAGAGAUUUAGUUAUUUUUAUAUUUUAUAUUGGAAUUUUUGCGAUAUAAAAUUGUUUUAUCGUUAAUAUUGCAACAUGUUAAGGGAUGCUUGGAAUACUGAAGGGAAAAAUGGGCUUAUAGCCUUAUUACAACGAUUUGUGUGGACCCUUAUGCAUGUUCAUUAGCGCAUGUGCAAUUAUCCACUUAUAUAGCGUUCUUCUAUAAUAUAUUUAAGGGCAAAUAUAAAAAGACCUCCCUCUCCAAUUUUUUUAAAUUUUAAACUUUUUUUUUAUAUUUUGACAUAAAAUAUAAAAUAUAAACCUCCCGCCUCCUGGGAGUUUUUAAAAUUUAGCGAUGAGAAUCAAGGAAUUUAUUUUAUAUGGCCUUAGGGUUAGUUCGAAAACUAAGGGCCCCAGACAGUUAGGAGCCCCCAUCAGCCACGGUCUAUCGCCCAGAAAAUUACAAAACGUAAAAAAUGCAG